GACGAACGCUGGCGGCGUGCUUAACACAUGCAAGUCGAACGGAAAGGCCCUGCUUUUGUGGGGUGCUCGAGUGGCGAACGGGUGAGUAACACGUGAGUAACCUGCCCUUGACUUUGGGAUAACUUCAGGAAACUGGGGCUAAUACCGGAUAGGAGCUCCUGCUGCAUGGUGGGGGUUGGAAAGUUUCGGCGGUUGGGGAUGGACUCGCGGCUUAUCAGCUGGUUGGUGGGGUAGUGGCUUACCAAGGCUUUGACGGGUAGCCGGCCUGAGAGGGUGACCGGCCACCUGGGGACUGCGAGAGGGCCCAGACUCGAACGGGAGGCAGCGGUGGGGAAUAUUGCACAGUGGGCGGAAGCCUGAUGCAGCAACGCCGCGUGCGGGAUGACGGCCUUCUGGUUGUAAACCGCUUUCGCCUGUGACGAAGCGUGAGUGACGGUAAUGGGUAAAGAAGCACCGGCUAACUACGUG
rnacentral:rRNA from 1 species